rnacentral:ncRNA from 3 species
GUGAUUUCUGCCCAGUGCUC